rnacentral:rRNA from 1 species
UACGUAGGGGGCAAGCGUUGUCCGGAUUUAUUGGGCGUAAAGAGCGUGUAGGCGGUUUGGUAGGUCCGCUGUGAAAACUCGAGGCUCAACCUCGAGACGCCGGUGGAAACCAUCAGGCUAGAGUCCGGAAGAGGAGAGUGGAAUUCCUGGUGUAGCGGUGAAAUGCGCAGAUAUCAGGAGGAACACCGAUGGCGAAGGCAGGUCUCUGGGCAUUAACUGACGCUGAGGAGCGAAAGCAUGGGGAGCGAACAGG